ACCGCACAAGCGGUGGAUGAUGUGGAUUAAUUCGAUGCAACGCGAAAAACCUUACCUACCCUUGACAUGUCCGGAAUCCCGAAGAGAUUUGGGAGUGCUCGCAAGAGAACCGGAACACAGGUGCUGCAUGGCUGUCGUCAGCUCGUGUCGUGAGAUGUUGGGUUAAGUCCCGCAACGAGCGCAACCCUCGUCAUUAGUUGCCAUCAUUUGGUUGGGCACUCUAAUGAGACUGCCGGUGACAAACCGGAGGAAGGUGGGGAUGACGUCAAGUCCUCAUGGCCCUUAUGGGUAGGGCUUCACACGUCAUACAAUGGUCGGUACAGAGGGUUGCCAACCCGCGAGGGGGAGCUAAUCCCACAAAGCCGAUCGUAGUCCGGAUCGCAGUCUGCAACUCGACUGCGUGAAGUCGGAAUCGCUAGUAAUCGUGGAUCAGCAUGUCACGGUGAAUACGUUCCCGGGUCUU
rnacentral:rRNA from 1 species